rnacentral:pre_miRNA from 1 species
GAUUUGAACUGAACAAGUCAUCAACAACAAAGUUGUAUAACUCAUCAAUAUCUAUAACUUUUAUUUUGGUAAUUUCUUCAUCCGAUGAAGUGAUAGUAAUAUUAUUCACAAAAUUUACAUAUCUCUUACAUGGUUUUAUAAACUAUAAGAGAUAUAUACAAAUUUUGUGAACAAUAUUACUGUCAUUUUAUCGGAUGAAGAAAUGACCAAAAUAAAAGUUAUAGAUAUUGAUGAGUUAUACAACUUUGUUGUUGAUAACUUUUUCAGUUGAAAUC